rnacentral:rRNA from 1 species
AGAAACUACAAAGGAAUUGACGGGACCCCGCCACAAGCGGUGGAUCAUGUUGUUUAAUUCGAUGAUACGCGAAGAACCUUACCAGGUCUUGACAUCCCCCGCGAUGCUUUAGAGAUAAAGCGGAGGUAUUCGGGGAGACAGGUGGUGCAUGGUUGUCGUCAGCUCGUGUCGUGAGAUGUUGGGUUAAGUCCCGCAACGAGCGCAACCCCUAUUGCUAGUUACCAUCAUUAAGUUGGGGACUCUAGCGAGACUGCCAGUGAUAAACUGGAGGAAGGUGGGGAUGACGUCAAAUCAUCAUGCCCCUUAUGACCUGGGCUACAAACGUGAUACAAUGGCUGGAACAAAGGGAUGCGAAGCAGUGAUGUGGAGCGAAACCCAUAAAAACAGUCUCAGUUCGGAUUGAAGUCUGCAACUCGACUUCAUGAAGUCGGAAUCGCUAGUAAUCGCGGAUCAGAACGCCGCGGUGAAUACGUUCUCGGGGUUU